rnacentral:rRNA from 1 species
UACAGGGGGUGCAAACGUUGCUCGGAAUUAUUGGGCGUAAAGCGCGCGUAGGCGGCUACUUAAGUCGGAUGUGAAAGCCCUUGGCUCAACUGAGGAAGUGCACCCGAAACUGAGUAGCUGGAGUACGAAAGAGGGUCGCGGAAUUCCCGGUGUAGAGGUGAAAUUCGUAGAUAUCAGGAGGAACACCGGUGGCGAAGGCGGGUCUCUGGGCCGAUACUGACGCUGAGGAGCGAAAGCGUGGGGAGCGAACAGG